UACGGAGGGGGCGAGCGUUAUUCGGAAUUAUUGGGCGUAAAGGGCGCGUAGGCGGCUCGAUAAGUCAAAGGUGAAAUCCCUCGGCUCAACUGAGGAACUGCCUUUGAAACUGCCGAGCUUGAGUCCGGGAGGGGGUGGCGGAAUUCCCAGUGUAGCGGUGAAAUGCGUAGAUAUUGGGAGGAACACCAGUGGCGAAGGCGGCCACCUGGACCGGAACUGACGCUGAUGCGCGAAAGCGUGGGUAGCAAACAGG
rnacentral:rRNA from 1 species